rnacentral:rRNA from 1 species
GAUGAACGCUGGCGGCGUGCCUAAUACAUGCAAGUCGAGCGAACGGACGAGAAGCUUGCUUCUCUGAUGUUAGCGGCUGACGGGUGAGUAACACGUGGAUAACCUACCUAUAAGACUGGGAUAACUUCGGGAAACCGUAGCUAAUACCGGAUAAUAUUUUGAACCGCAUGGUUCAAAAGUGAAAGACGGUCUUGCUGUCACUUAUAGAUGGAUCCGCGCUGCAUUAGCUAGUUGGUAAGGUAACGGCUUACCAAGGCAACGAUGCAUAGCCGACCUGAGAGGGUGAUCGGCCACACUGGAACUGAGACACGGUCCAGACUCCUACGGGAGGCAGCAGUAGGGAAUCUUCCGCAAUGGGCGAAAGCCUGACGGAGCAACGCCGCGUGAGUGAUGAAGGUCUUCGGAUCGUAAAACUCUGUUAUUAGGGAAGAACAUAUGUGUAAGUAACUGUGCACAUCUUGACGGUACCUAAUCAGAAAGCCACGGCUAACUACGUG